CUGGCGGCGUGCCUAAUACAUGCAAGUCGAACGGACUUUUCUAUGGAAGCUUGCUUCCACUGAGAAGAUAGUGGCGAACGGGUGAGUAACACGUGGGUAACCUGCCCAUAAGAGGGGGGAUAACAUCCGGAAACGGGUGCUAAUACCGCAUAGUUUUCUUGAUCGCAUGAUCGGGAAAGGAAAGACGGCCUUUGUGCUGUCGCUUAUGGAUGGACCCGCGGCGUAUUAGUUAGUUGGUGAGGUAACGGCUCACCAAGACGAUGAUACGUAGCCGACCUGAGAGGGUGAUCGGCCACAUUGGGACUGAGACACGGCCCAAACUCCUACGGGAGGCAGCAGUAGGGAAUCUUCCGCAAUGGACGAAAGUCUGACGGAGCAACGCCGCGUGAGUGAAGAAAGGGUUUUCGGAUCGUAAAACUCUGUUGUCAGAGAAGAACAAGUUGGAGAGUAACUGCUCCAGCCUUGACGGUAUCUGACCAGAAAGCCACGGCUAACUACGUGCCAGCCGCGGC
rnacentral:rRNA from 1 species